UUUAGGUGAUGGAGUAGUAGACACUGAUGUUAAUCUGUCUUCGUCUAGUAUACUACCUCUAGUGUUCCCAUUGGUAGGGUUCUCAUUGACUCCUCCUCUCUGCGGCUGCUGUCCAAAAUAAUUUUCCAAAGGAUCUUGUGACAGACGUUCACUAAAAAAUGAAUUAACACUGGGAAUAGUGAACAGGAACUUUACCAAAUCAAUGAACCGUUCCUGGCAGUCUUAAUGAGGUGUGGAGGGUCUGAAAAAAAGAAGACUUCUGUGUUUUCAUUUAAUGGGUUCCUAAACUUAUAUGCUAAUGGUUUGGAACUUGAGCUUCCCACUAUUGUGAAGAAUUUUCUGUUGACAGAAGUUCCAUCCAUGGUAAUAGAUGUGACAUUUAAGCCACAGUGCUCAAGACGGAAAAGAGCUUCAAGAAAAUAGGAACUAGUUGUUUUCCAGUGAGGUUAAAAGCAGCAAAAGAAGCAUAAGGAAAGAUAAAACUUGUCACAAAAACCAACUAGCUCACCAUUGUGCUUAUUAUACACUAAGCCCUCUUUAACAUGCAUCUCAUCAGCAAUGAUACUGACAUAUUUCUGAAAUGGCUCUAAUGCUGAGAUGUUAUAAUCAUUCACUAGCUGUGUAUCUAAUUCUGUAGAGAAUCCAUUUGUGCUUUUAUAUGCAUACGUAUAAUCCCUAUGGGUACGCUGAGAGGGAAGAUGUAAGAUGCCAGUUUUUUGAAGCAAGUCAUGCUUUAGAGGAUUUGUGCCUCAAAAAGAUACACCACUUUACAAUUGCAGGAUUCCAGCGAAAUUGUGUACAGCACAUUGUCGAUGCUGCUUUAUAUUGAUUCUCCCAGAAUAUUCUGCGAAGCUACCUUCUGGAUGGUUAUUCAGAAUGUCUUGAUGGUGUUCAUGCAUUAUUGAUAAGAGGCUGCUGUGAAGAUUUUCAUUCAAAGUGAUUGAGCGGUGAUCUUUUUCAAUUUUUUCUUCUAAUUCCUUAAUAUAUUUUUCCUGUUCUUUUACUUUAGAUUUGAGUUGGUGGAUUUUUUUGAGCAUCAAUGGUUUAGUUAUAUGUCGAUGAUUUGUUUUGAAACCUAUUUGUCUGUUUGGAGUGGUCGUUUUGAUGCUAUUGCAAGUAACUUUCUUCGGUAUGAAACGCACUCUGAACAACGUGUCACUUUAUCAUGUAAUACUGGACAGUUAACAUGGCGUAUUGUUAGGAAGGGAAUAUUUUGAAGAAUUGCAACAACCUGACCUGAGUUAAUUGAAGCUAUUGGCUUUUCUGCCAUUUGCUAAUUGUAAAAGAGAUGAAUCAGAAUUGCCGCGGCAUACUUUCAGUGCUGCUAGAUAUGUGAGCAAGGUGAUUAGGUUAGGUUUGGAUAGACUGUGACUGUGAAUAAUAUCUGUGGAUGUGAAUUAUACUGCCGUAUAUAACACAACAUCAUAGUGUCAUGAGAAUUUUGAACUAUUGACCACCCAUCUGAGAAGCACUUCUUCCUGGACAUGAUAUGUGGAAUAGUGAUGAACAAAAUAUUAAUGAUGCAGUACUGAGCCUGCUGCACUAAGCUUUAUAUUCAGUUAUGAAUAUUGUUAUUUGAAAUCAAUAUAAUUGUCUUCUCACCUUUAUGUAAUCAAAUGUGUUGCAAUAAUAAGCUUAUGAGACAAGGAAAGAAAGUAGUUCGCAUGGAAAAGAAACUGGAAUCAUGUAAGCAGUAGCAGUACAGUGCGUACUUUUGUUGCUAGCUGUGGUUGCUAGUCACUAGUUCGUUGCUAUCAUGUUACUACGCGCAAAUUAGUGGUAUGCCGUAUUAUACUCUAAUUACUAGGAUAAUGGUAGAUAUAGGGUCUAUCAUGGGGGGCAAUAAUGUAAGCAGUAGGUUUUGUUGCAUAAAAAUUUUAUUUUGUAUAGUUAACCCCUAAAUAAUAUAGAAAGACAGGCUUCCUGUUUGCCCAAGCUGUCUGUUGUAGCAAUGUAUCUAUUUGCAGUUUAAAUUCAGUGUUUUAUGAAUUAGCAA